rnacentral:misc_RNA from 1 species
UCUGGAGUGGUAGGGAUGGA